rnacentral:pre_miRNA from 1 species
UGGAGGAACAACCCGAGUGGCUGGGGCAGCUCUGGAUACCUGGAUUCAGCCCCAGCAGUAACUACGGGGCUCUCUGUCUGCAGGGGCCUGGAGUCUCCGGGGCGGG